UUCUCCUGCCGGCGAGUGGCGAACGGGUGAGUAAUACAUCGGAACGUGCCCUGUAGUGGGGGAUAACUAGUCGAAAGAUUAGCUAAUACCGCAUACGACCUGAGGGUGAAAGUGGGGGACCGCAAGGCCUCAUGCUAUAGGAGCGGCCGAUGUCUGAUUAGCUAGUUGGUGGGGUAAAGGCCCACCAAGGCGACGAUCAGUAGCUGGUCUGAGAGGACGAUCAGCCACACUGGGACUGAGACACGGCCCAGACUCCUACGGGAGGCAGCAGUGGGGAAUUUUGGACAAUGGGCGAAAGCCUGAUCCAGCAAUGCCGCGUGUGUGAAGAAGGCCUUCGGGUUGUAAAGCACUUUUGUCCGGAAAGAAAUGGCUCUGGUUAAUACCUGGGGUCGAUGACGGUACCGGAAGAAUAAGGACCGGCUAACUACGUGCCAGCAGCCGCGGUAAUACGUAGGGUCCAAGCGUUAAUCGGAAUUACUGGGCGUAAAGCGUGCGCAGGCGGUUGUGCAAGACCGAUGUGAAAUCCCCGAGCUUAACUUGGGAAUUGCAUUGGUGACUGCACGGCUAGAGUGUGUCAGAGGGGGGUAGAAUUCCACGUGUAGCAGUGAAAUGCGUAGAGAUGUGGAGGAAUACCGAUGGCGAAGGCAGCCCCCUGGGAUAACACUGACGCUCAUGCACGAAAGCGUGGGGAGCAAACAGGAUUAGAUACCCUGGUAGUCCACGCCCUAAACGAUGUCAACUAGUUGUUGGGGAUUCAUUUCCUUAGUAACGUAGCUAACGCGUGAAGUUGACCGCCUGGGGAGUACGGUCGCAAGAUUAAAACUCAAAGGAAUUGACGGGGACCCGCACAAGCGGUGGAUGAUGUGGAUUAAUUUCGAUGCAACGCGAAAAACCUUUACCUACCCUUUGACAUGCCACUAACGAAGCAGAGAUGCAUUAGUGCUCGAAAGAGAAAAGUGACACAGUGCUGCAUGGCCUGGUCGUCAGCUUCGUGUCGUGAGAAUGUUGGUUAGGUCCCGCCAACGAGCGCAUCCUUGAUCCUCUAGUUGCCUACGAAA
rnacentral:rRNA from 1 species